rnacentral:rRNA from 1 species
UACGUAGGGGGGCAAGCGUUGUCCGGAUUUAUUGGGCGUAAAGAGCGUGUAGGCGGCCUUACAGGUCAGCUGUGAAAACUCGAGGCUCAACCUCGAGACGUCGGUUGAAACCGUAUGGCUAGAGUCCGGAAGAGGAGAGUGGAAUUCCCGGUGUAGCGGUGAAAUGCGCAGAUAUCGGGAAGAACACCCGUGGCGAAGGCGGCUCUCUGGGACGGUACUGACGCUGAGACGCGAAAGCGUGGGGAGCGAACGAGG